GCCGUGCUCACAGCUGGUGACUUCCAUUGACUCUUAAUCAGUACGUUCGGGGUUCGAGUCCCUGGCGGGGCA
rnacentral:tRNA from 1 species